GGUGAACGCUGGCGGCGUGCCUAAGACAUGCAAGUCGAGCGGGGCAGGUUUAUACCUGUUCAGCGGCGGACGGGUGAGUAACGCGUGGGUGACCUACCCGGAAGAGGCGGACAACCUGGGGAAACCCAGGCUAAUCCGCCAUGUGGUCCUGUCCUGUGGGGCAGGACUAAAGGGGCGACCCGCUUCCGGAUGGGCCCGCGUCCCAUCAGCUAGUUGGUGGGGUAAAGGCCCACCAAGGCGACGACGGGUAGCCGGUCUGAGAGGAUGGCCGGCCACAGGGGCACUGAGAAACGGGCCCCACUCCUACGGGAGGCAGCAGUUAGGAAUCUGCCGCAAUGGACGGAAGUCUGACGGAGCGACGCCGCUUGGAGGAGGAAGCCCUUCGGGGUGUAAACUCCUGAACUGGGGACGAAAGCCCCGUGUAGGGGGAUGACGGUACCCAGGUAAUAGCGCCGGCCAACUCCGUG
rnacentral:rRNA from 1 species